UGGGAAUUUUGGACAAUGGGCGAAAGCCUGAUCCAGCAAUGCCGCGUGUGUGAAGAAGGCCCUUCGGGUUGUAAAGCACUUUUGUCCGGAAAGAAAUCCUUGGCUCUAAUACAGUCGGGGGAUGACGGUACCGGAAGAAUAAGCACCGGCUAACUACGUGCCAGCAGCCGCGGUAAUACGUAGGGUGCAAGCGUUAAUCGGAAUUACUGGGCGUAAAGCGUGCGCAGGCGGUUUGCUAAGACCGAUGUGAAAUCCCCGGGCUCAACCUGGGAACUGGCAUUGGUGACUGGCAGGCUAGAGUAUGGCAGAGGGGGGUAGAAUUCCACGUGUAGCAGUGAAAUGCGUAGAGAUGUGGAGGAAUACCGAUGGCGAAGGCAGCCCCCUGGGCAAUACUGACGCUCAUGCACGAAAAGGCGUGGGGGAG
rnacentral:rRNA from 1 species